rnacentral:rRNA from 1 species
UACGAAGGGGGCGAGCGUUGUUCGGAUUCACUGGGCGUAAAGGGUGCGUAGGCGGUCGGGUAAGUCUGAUGUGAAAUCUCACAGCUUAACUGUGAAACUGCAUUGGAUACUAUCCGGCUCGAGGAAUGGAGGGGAGACUGGAAUACUUGGUGUAGCAGUGAAAUGCGUAGAUAUCAAGUGGAACACCAGUGGCGAAGGCGAGUCUCUGGACAUUUCCUGACGCUGAGGCACGAAAGCCAGGGGAGCAAACGGG